rnacentral:rRNA from 1 species
UACAGAGGUGGCAAGCGUUGUUCGGAAUUACUGGGCGUAAAGGGCGCGUAGGCGGCUUUCUAAGUCAGACGUGAAAUCCCCCGGCUUAACCUGGGAACUGCGUCUGAUACUGGGAGGCUUGAAUGCGGGAGAGGGAUGUAGAAUUCCAGGUGUAGCGGUGAAAUGCGUAGAUAUCAGGAGGAACACCGGUGGCGAAGGCGGGAUCCUGGGCCAGUACUGACGCUGAGGAGCGAAAGCGUGGGGAGCAAACAGG